rnacentral:misc_RNA from 1 species
GAACUGCGAUAAGUAAUGUGAAUUGCAGAAUUCAGUGAAUCAUCGAGUCUUUGAACGCACAUUGCGCCCCCUGGCAUUCCGGGGGGCAUGCCUGUCCGAGCGUCAUUGCUGCCCUUCAAGCCCGGCUUGUGUGUUGGGUCGUCGUCCCCUCCGGAGGACGGGCCCGAAAGGCAGCGGCGGCACCGCGUCCGGUCCUCGAGCGUAUGGGGCUUUGUCACCCGCUCGAUAAGGACCGGCCGGGCGCCAGCCGGCGUCUCCAACCUUUUUUUCUCAGGUUGACCUCGGAUCAGGUAGGGAUACCCGCUGAACUUAAGC